rnacentral:rRNA from 1 species
AGGAUUAACGCUGGCGGCGUGCCUGACACAUGCAAGUCGAACGAGGCCGCAAGGCCGAGUGGCGGACGGGUGAGUAACACGUGACCAACCAACCUCGAAGUUGGGAAUAGCUCUGCGAAAGUAGGGGUAAUACCGAAUGUGGCCCAGGGCGGGCAUCCGCCUUGGUCUAAAGAUUCAUCGCUUCGAGACGGGGUCGCGGCCUAUUAGCUUGUUGGUGAGGUAACGGCUCACCAAGGCGAUGAUGGGUAGCUGGUCUGAGAGGACGACCAGCCACACUGGGACUGAGACACGGCCCAGACUCCUACGGGAGGCAGCAGUGAGGAAUCUUCCGCAAUGGGCGAAAGCCUGACGGAGCAACGCCGCGUGUGGGAUGAAGACUCUAGGGUUGUAAACCACUGUCGGAGGGGACGAUCGUGACGGUACCCUCCAAGAAACGCCCCGGAUAACUACGUGCCAGCAGCCGC